rnacentral:rRNA from 1 species
CCUACGGGUGGCAGCAGUGAGGAAUAUUGGUCAAUGGGCGAGAGCCUGAACCAGCCAAGUCGCGUGAGGGAAGACGGUCCUAUGGAUUGUAAACCUCUUUUGCCGGGGAGCAAAAAGCGGUACGUGUACCGCAUCGAGAGUACCCGGAGAAAAAGCAUCGGCUAACUCCGUGCCAGCAGCCGCGGUAAUACGGAGGAUGCGAGCGUUAUCCGGAUUUAUUGGGUUUAAAGGGUGCGCAGGCGGCGAGUUAAGUCAGCGGUAAAAUUUCGGGGCUCAACCCCGACAAGCCGUUGAAACUGGCUUGCUAGAGUGGGCGAGAAGUAUGCGGAAUGCGUGGUGUAGCGGUGAAAUGCAUAGAUAGCACGCAGAACCCCGAUUGCGAAGGCAGCCUGCCAAGCCAUGACUGACGCUGAUGCACGAAAGCGUGGGGAUCAAACAGGAUUAGAUACCCCUGUAGUC